rnacentral:rRNA from 1 species
GUCCACGCCGUAAACGAUGAUAACUAGCUGUCCGGGUACUUGGUAUCUGGGUGGCGCAGCUAACGCAUUAAGUUAUCCGCCUGGGGAGUACGGUCGCAAGAUUAAAACUCAAAGGAAUUGACGGGGGCCUGCACAAGCGGUGGAGCAUGUGGUUUAAUUCGAAGCAACGCGCAGAACCUUACCAGCGUUUGACAUCCCGCGCUACCCAGAGAGAUUUGGGGUUCCCUUCGGGGACGCGGUGACAGGUGCUGCAUGGCUGUCGU